UCUAUCUGUUUUACUUGAGAAAAUCUAAUUCACUCAACCCAUCUUUACUCAUCAUUGCCAUCUCCUCUCCCUCUCUUCACCUGAUUCACCAAAUCUCUUCAAAAACCCUAAUUCUUUUACAUAAAAUCAGACCAUUUACUUUCUAUGGUUCUCCUAGGUUAGGUUAGGUCUUGGUCGGGAAGAACACAGACUCAGAGUAGACAUGAAUUGUGCUGCUACCAGUUGCUGGUUCGAUGUGGGGUUCUGAUUUUAACUUUGAUGUCGUGAAUUAAAUGGCUAUACAUUUAAAUCAGAGAAGAAGUGAAUCGGAAGGAAUUAGUGAGGAUUUUGUGGAGUUACUCAGCGGAGAAGUGAAUCGGAAGGAAUUGGUUUACUUAUGGAAUUUGAUGGGGGUUUGAUGUUAUGAAUGGCUGAGCAGUUAGUGAAUAUGACUUUUUCUGUUUGCAUAAUAUGCUAGAGGUAAUUUGCUGUCUGGAGGGAGCUAGAAUUGGCAUCCAGUAUGAGACAUCUUUUGUCAUUAAAACCCAUCAUUUCUAAUGUUUAUAAUUUUGGCACAAGCUUUAAACCAUACCAAUGGUACACAGAGCUUUGCCAGAAAAGCGUAUGAAAGGGCGCGCAAAAAUCUCCCAGUUAAUCCACUCAGUAUGUUCAUGGUAACUCACAAGGCUAGUAAGCUGGGUAAACUGUGUGAAGAUUGGCAGAGAUGAAACGGAUUAGUGAGAAGGUUCAUCUAGGGAAGUCAGCUACACGCCUGAGGAAAUAUAUGCAAUGAUUGUUGAUCCUCGUCGUACUGGUGUUAAGCGUGCUCGUAAGUCAAAAGUUUCUACUCGCUUCAGUCUAUAUGAGAAAAAUGAAGCACACAUGUCUGCUCUCCAAGAACAGCUGGACUCUGAAAAGAAGAAAGUUGCAAAGCAAGACAAAGAUAUCUCAAAGCUUCAACGGAGGGAGCGUAAUCUCAGAGAGUAUUUGAAUGAGGCUUUGAAGAUUCUUGGUUGUGAACUCGUGCCAGAUGAUCUAGAAGAUGAGUCUGAAGAUGAACGUCAACAGGAGAAUGAAGUUGAAGAUGGAUUUACUUGGGAUGACUUGCGCGAAGAUGAUUUGCAGGAUGAUGGAUGUGCUGAUGUUAAUCAGGAGAAUGAACUAUCUGGAGAGGAAGAUGGUGAGGAAAUUAAUGAAUGAUGUGUGUGCAGUUGUGUUUUGAUGAAUAUACAGGUCUCAUGCCGUUCACUGGACCCUUUUUGGCCUUUUGUUCAGACCUUUUGUUCUUUUCGGGGAUGGGUUGUAAACCAGUUAUGUUUCUUUUUUUUUUUGGUAACAAGUUAACGUCUUUUACUGGGUGGGGAAACUGAAGUAUAUAUCACUUGUAAUAAAGCAACGGUUAAUUAAUGAUA